rnacentral:rRNA from 1 species
UACGUAGGGUGCAAGCGUUGUCCGGAAUUAUUGGGCGUAAAGAGCUCGUAGGCGGUUUGUCGCGUCUGCUGUGAAAACCCGAGGCUCAACCUCGGGCCUGCAGUGGGUACGGGGCAGACUAGAGUGCGGUAGGGGGAGAUUGGAAUUCCUGGUGUAGCGGUGGAAUGCGCAGAUAUCAGGGAGGAACACCAAUGGCGAAGGCAGAUCUCUGGGCCUAACUGACGCUGAGGUGCGAAAGCGUGGGGGAGCAAAACAGGG